CCGGCCGCCCGCCUCCCCGUCACCGCCUGCAGCCGCCGGAGCCACGGGGAGGCGGUGCCGCUCCGCCCCGGGCCUCGGACCGGGAGGAGCGGAGGGGGCGGUGUCGGUGUCGGCCGUGGAGCCGCGGGCGGCAGGUCUUCACCUUCACCUUCUGCGGUAGAAUGUGUUCCCUCCUCCUCCAUCAACACACCACCUGCUCCAGCACUGUUCUGCCUUCUUCCCACUGCCUUCUCACCCUUUCCUGAAGUUAACUGA
rnacentral:lncRNA from 14 species